rnacentral:lncRNA from 1 species
AGAAAAUUUGACUAUUUGUUCCCAAUAUCUAUAUUUGUAUAUAUGUCCUAAUAGUAUUUAAAUGUGCAUUGUUUUAAAAUCUGAGUUUUUAUAGGCAUCUAAAUAAGCCUUCCUCUUUGGGAGAAGACAAGUAUUCAUCAAGGAUCCUUAUCAACACUGAGGGGUGCAGAGACUUCACAUCAUUAUCAUAACAAUACAACCUGAAAGGUGUGAUGGAUCUAGCGGAGUGACUGUGGGCACAUUGAUUCCUGGAUAUGGAAACAGUUUAACUUUAAUCUUGAGUAAAUGAAUGAGGAGAAAUGGAGAAAAGACUUUUGGUUUUCCGAUUUUUAUAUAAAAUUGGGGCUAAAGUUGGACCUGAGAAAAGUAAGGUAACAGAAUGGCUAACUUGUUUAACUUUGGAAAAACUGAAAUGACUAAUUAGAAUGUUUCCAAUCUAUGUGAUAUAUAUUUGAAAGAGCUA